rnacentral:rRNA from 1 species
UACGUAGGGACCGAGCGUUGUCCGGAAUCAUUGGGCGUAAAGAGCGUGUAGGCGGCCACUUAAGUCCUGCGUGAAAUCUUGCGGCUCAACCGCAAGCGGUCGUGGGAAACUGGGUGGCUAGAGUGCGGGAGAGGAGAGUGGAAUUCCUGGUGUAGCGGUGGAAUGCGCAGAUAUCAGGAAGAACACCAGUGGCGAAGGCGGCUCACUGGCCCGGUACUGACGCUGAGGCGCGAAAGCGUGGGGAGCAAACAGG